ensembl:snRNA U1 U1 spliceosomal RNA
AUACUUACCUGGUAGGGGAGAUACCAUGAUUAUGAAGGGUGGCUUUCCCAGGGUGAGGCUUAUCCAUUGCACUCUGGAUGUGCUCACCCCUGCAAUUUCCCCAAAUGUGGGAAACUUGACUGCAUAAUUUAUGGUAGUGGGGGACUGUAUUUGUGUUUUCCCCUG